rnacentral:misc_RNA from 1 species
GAUGAAGAACGUAGCGAAAUGCGAUAAGUAGUGUGAAUUGCAGAAUUCAGUGAAUCAUCGAAUCUUUGAACGCACAUUGCGCCCCUUGGUAUUCCAUGGGGCAUGCCUGUUCGAGCGUCAUUUGUACCUUCAAGCUCUGCUUGGUGUUGGGUGUUUGUCUCGCCUUUGCGUGUAGACUCGCCUCAAAACAAUUGGCAGCCGGCGUAUUGAUUUCGGAGCGCAGUACAUCUCGCGCCUUGCACUCAUAACGACGACGUCCAAAAAGUACAUUUUUACACUCUUGACCUCGGAUCAGGUAGGGAUACCCGCUGAACUUAAGCAUAUCAAUAAGCGGAGGA